CCCGGCGACUCCGCACCACUCUAGAAGCCAGGGGGAAAAAGCUCAGUCCCCUAGCGCCCCCUGGUGGCGAAUGGGAGAACAAGCCCGUCUUUCGAGGGCGGUGGCCCAAUCGCGGUGGCCGAACCGGGCAACAGGUGGCGCUAUUUUGCCGAAGGGAGAUACCGCUCGGAGCCUUGGGACUACCAUUUUUCUCAGAGGAAGAAGCCAACCAAUUUUUGAGUCUUAAGAGACAAACACCUUAUUUAGACUACUUGCAACUAACUAGCAGCCAGAGUACUCUGGGUGAACAGGUUAGUGAAGCCUGGACUACACUGAAAAACACAGGACAAUAUUACAUGGAUCUGGGAUAUUCUGUAUUCAGUACCGACACAGCCAGGUAAUUCAUAUGGGAAUAAAAAUAGGUGAUGGCUGGUUUGGCUGUAGUAC
rnacentral:lncRNA from 1 species